rnacentral:rRNA from 1 species
CCAAUAGCGUAUAUUAAAGUUGUUGCAGUUAAAAAGCUCGUAGUUGAAUUUCGGGAUCAAUAUGUCGGUCGUCCCAUCGGUACGUACUGGUAUCAUUGGUCUCUCCUUUCUGACGAACCAUGAUGUCAUUAAUUUGGUGUUAUGGGAAGUUAGGACUGUUACUUUGAAAAAAUUAGAGUGUUUAAAGCAGGCUUUGGCUU